UAGGCCGAGGGGCGUGCCCUGAGGCCGUGGAAAGACUGCAGCAGAGGGGAGGUGGUGCCGGUGAAGCAGAAAAUGGCGUCUGCGAAUGAGCAAAGUUUGUGACGCGGCGAGGUUUUUGCCUCUGGCGGAGGCUUUCUUCCAAGGAGAAGAGAAAGUGCAGCUCUCUCUUGAUUACCCUCCCCCUCACUCUCUCCAUCCGGCCAUAUUGGACUCUUGCUGUUGUUCGUCUAACGCCUCGAGCGGGCUCUCACCUGACGGCCUUUACAGGGAGGUUUGCCCGUCUUACAGAGUCACGGUACUGGAUGAACCAUCUACAGGCGUAAUUAAAUCAGAGAAGGCGGAAUGAGUCUCUUCUCUAGAAGAUCUAUGCAGGGUGUGGGUAGUUUCCUAACAGGUAAGCAAGCAUGGGGUUCUUUGUUCAGGUAAAGGAAAGAGGGUGAUUGGAUUCGGUGUUACAGAAUGGAUAGUAGUGUGUGAAGGGAAAGCAGCAACAUGUUCAUUGAAGGUAAGGACUAGCCUAGAAAUGUUGGGAUUAUUCUGUUGAUGGAGAAAGCUGCACAGCAUAGGGGAACCACUGAUUUAAUGAAGACCCUAGAACUAAAUCAACUGAAAUUUUCAUGUUCGCUUGGAGACUGAAUGCUGCUAUAGCUCUUGCAAAAGGUAGGAUAUGCCUUGGUGACUGGAUCUAAUUCUUUUGUAAUUAAGUCAGAUUUUUCAUGAACUAAAAGGAAAGGGGAUUUGUGACUCUAGAAUCCUGAAGGGGGGAAUCUUUUGCUAGACAGUCACUAUAGCAGUCUU